rnacentral:rRNA from 1 species
GUGCCAGCAGCCGCGGUAAUACGUAGGGUGCAAGCGUUAAUCGGAAUUACUGGGCGUAAAGCGUGCGCAGGCGGUUUUGUAAGACAGUGGUGAAAUCCCCGGGCUCAACCUGGGAACUGCCAUUGUGACUGCAAGGCUAGAGUGCGGCAGAGGGGGAUGGAAUUCCGCGUGUAGCAGUGAAAUGCGUAGAUAUGCGGAGGAACACCGAUGGCGAAGGCAAUCCCCUGGGCCUGCACUGACGCUCAUGCACGAAAGCGUGGGGAGCA